rnacentral:rRNA from 1 species
GGCCUACGGGGGGCAGCAGUAGGGAAUUUUCGUCAAUGGGGGGAACCCUGAACGAGCAAUGCCGCGUGAGUGAAGAAGGCCUUCGGGUCGUAAAGCUCUGUUGUAAGAGAAAAACGGUAAUGAUAGGGAAUGAUCAUUAAGUGAUGGUAUCUUACGAGGAAGCCACGGCUAACUACGUGCCAGCAGUCGCGGUAAUACGGAGGAUGCGAGCGUUAUACGGAUUUAUUGGGGUUAAAGGGUGCGCAGGCGGCCUGUUAAGUCAGCGGUAAAAGACCGGGGCUCAACCCCGGCGAGCCGUUGAAACU